AUAUCAUAAUUAUCAAAACAUAAACUAAAACCUAUGUAUAGUUAGUUGUUACCUAGUUGUUGUACCUUCCAAAUUAAGAAGUCAUAUCACAAAGAAGAUUGUAGCGUCAUCUACAAUCUAUGCUUAUAAAGUACUGGGAAGACGUUUUACUGUAAAACGGGCUAACGAACGCGCUCGACUUCAGCUACGGGGGCCUUCAUGGUGUGUCUGUCUUAUUAGUCGUUCGUCUCUUUCUAUCAAAUUGUGUUUAAGCUACGAUGGAAACUGACAGUAUUUAUUUUUUGAAUGGGGCAUUCAUUUUAGACUGAAACCAACUAUUGUCUAUUGAAAUCUAAAUACACACAUUAUGUUAUUGUAAUAUGAAGAAAAUAAAUCAGUUGAACGAUAUUUUAACGCAGAAAGCCGCCAUAGCUUAACAAAGCCACCAGACGCCAUAGAUUAAAAAGCAAUGGCUUAUUUUAAACACCAAGUUUGCCUUUGGGCCAACCCUUCGUCUAAUUUUGAGCACAAUGUGCGUAACAAAAGUAAAUUAUACCUUCCUGUGACCUGUCUCAUGAAUGGACAGUGGGUGUUGGUUCUUUGUAUUGUUAACAUCCAUUGUGUGUUUUCAGCAUCCAAUUAUGGGUAUUCGCUUGUUGAUUUUUAUGUGUCUCGUAAGUUUUCUUGGAUUGAUACUAUAAUACCUCUAUAUUGUUGCUGUACAUCGGGUACACAAUUAGAAAAUGAGUCUGUUAAACACAAAAUAUCUUUACAAAUACAAAUUUAUUUUAGAAAUAUUUACGUGUUGUUAACGCUUAUUUUGUGAUUUUAUCUUACUGCGGAGUCAAAUGUUAUUCUGAUAUUUCAGUUUUCAUAAAGCAUAAUGGUUACUAAAUAGUUUUUCUAAACCUACUUGAAAUAAUGAAUAUUACUGCCUUUGAACGAGGAGUGUCCAAUAAAUAGUAAUAUUUCCCUUGGAAAACACUGUCAAGAAUAGAUAAGAUUAUAUUUAAUAACAAAAAAGCAAUCAAAACUCUUUUCUUUUUUAAAAAUAGAAGUAAUCUGUUUGCGUUGGGUCGGAACGUUUCCUUAAAAGCGUACAUUAAAGUACACACGGUAAUAAAAUAUCUCUGCUUGAAAUAUUUUACAACGAAGCAGGAAAAUCAAGACCUCCUCCAUAUUCUACGGUUGCGCGUGGGUGUGUUAAGUUCAGGCGUGUAAGAAGCUACAUUAACGACGACAACGACAAGAAAAAAUAAGAUUUCUACAAUUUAUAUAUAAUCAUUUGGAUACGAAAGAAGUGUCAGUGCGCUGGGUCGAUGCACCUAGAAAGCUAACUGGUUUUAUUUAUAUGGAUGAAACAUGGUUUCAACAUUAUGAUCACCACCAGACCGUCGUCUCCAACUCGGAAGAAAUUUAAGAUAAUUAUGAUUAGUGCACUACCGAACCGUGAACACAGAAACAGAAGAGAUGUGAUGGAUACAAUGAAGCAUGCCUGGGACGAGGUGGUGAAGACUUUCAAUGAUGCCGGUGAUGCUGUAGUCCACGUGUUCAAACCAACAGAAAAAAGCAUUAUAGACAAAAUGGCGGAUGGAAUAAAGGGACUUACUAAUUA